GUGGGGAAUAUUGGACAAUGGGCGAAAGCCUGAUCCAGCCAUGCCGCGUGUGUGAAGAAGGUCUUCGGAUUGUAAAGCACUUUAAGUUGGGAGGAAGGGCAGUAAGUUAAUACCUUGCUGUUUUGACGUUACCGACAGAAUAAGCACCGGCUAACUUCGUGCCAGCAGCCGCGGUAAUACGAAGGGUGCAAGCGUUAGUCGGAAUUACUGGGCGUAAAGCGCGCGUAGGUGGUUUUGUAAGUUGGAGGUGAAAUCCCCGGGCUCAACCUGGGAACUGCCUCCAAAACUGCAUGACUAGAGUACGGUAGAGGGUAGUGGAAUUUCCUGUGUAGCGGUGAAAUGCGUAGAUAUAGGAAGGAACACCAGUGGCGAAGGCGACUACCUGGACUGAUACUGACACUGAGGUGCGAAAGCGUGGGGAGCAAACAGGAUUAGAAACCCCAGUAGUCC
rnacentral:rRNA from 1 species